GGGCUAGGCACAGUUCAGGUAGAUCAACAAACCGAAAGACCCUGCCCUAGGGGAGCUUUCGCUCCAAUGCGGGGAGAGGGUGGAUGAUUGCAGUUUUGCCCAGUAAUUUUUGGGACCCUCAUGCCACCAUUAAUUAGCUACACACAUUUCACCGAAAGUCUACCUUACAUAUUAAUCAGAAGAAGUGGAAGAAUAAACACAGAAGAAGCAAAAAAGGAAGGAACUUUCUCACUGAAAGUUUCUAUUUAAUAUUAAGUCUUAAAAGUACUCCUGGAAGGACAAAAGGUGUUCUUAAUAAAUUAUAUUCGCAAAUAUUGGAUUUAAUCCUACCAGUAAUGAAGCAGUCAGUUACUUUCUAGAUGUGCAGAAAUACGUAAUGAACAAAAAAAACUAAUUCCUAUUCCAUUUUUUAUUAGGUCCACAGUUAUUUCACUUCUAAAUAAAUAUGGUUUUUUAAAAGUGGCACGCGGUGGAAUGUAAUUGAGACAGGAUGGAGUUCCUAGAGAAAUUUUACUUCCUCAAUCUGCACUCCACCUUACUUAAAAUACAGUCUUGGGUCUGUAAUUCCCUUAUCUGACUCUCAAGGAAAUGACAAAGUAAUGCCUAGAUUGGACUAAACCUCAUUUAACUUCAAGGCUGACCUUUCUCAAAGUUGAACCUUCGUCUUGUGAGGAACAGAAAGAUCAAGAACUCUGAAGCACCUCGACUUUCCACCUGUGAAGAUGUGUUCAAAUUUGCAACGUGCGGCCACACCUAUGAGGUCACUCCCUCUGGAGGAAACCAGCUGCCACUUUGUGAGGAUACUCAUAGUCCUGUGGAGGCAUAUCCUCCAUAUGGCUGAGACCUCCUGCGAACAACCAUCACUGACUUGCCAGACAUGAGUGUGCCACCUUGGAAGCAGAUUUUCCAGCCCCAGUUAAGCCUUCAGAUGACAUCAGCCCCUGCUAAUCUCUUGACUACAACCUCAUGAGAGACCCUGAGCCAGAACUAGCCAGAUGUGCAAGGACUCCCGUCUACUCAUUAUCCAACAUGACAAUGGAACACGUUUCUAUCAGCCUCAUCGGAAAUCUUGGCAGAUGCUGUCAGAAAGUGUGUGCUGUUCCUGAGAUGUGAUUUUUCAACAGUGUAGACUGUACUAUUUGACUAGGGGUGGGAAAAAGAGGAGCGGGAGUUGAUUGUGCUUUCUUUUGGUUUUGUUUUUAAUUUUGAAAUUCUUCUCUCCAAGGGGGCCUUGCCUUGGACUAUGUCCAGCUUUGCUGAAUAGCCAUGUCUGCAUGACCAGUGGACUGGGGCUGGCCAGCAAUCCCAGGGCCACACCAAAGCCCAGUGCCGAGGGCCCAUUUCUUUGAAAUAGUUCCCUCAUGGCUCUCACUUCCCCUUACUCCAACAUUAUUCGUACCUACCAUGCCCCGCUAUUCCACUUCUGCCCUGACCUCAGUGUCUUGCAUUGAGACAUUUGAAGAGUGUGGUUCAAGGAAAGAGCAUGUUUGUUCCCAGCUGAACAAGGCUCAGGGAGACUAGCAGUGCCAGAGACAGGAGUGGGCAACAUUUCUGUGUGAAUUAAGCCAUGCAGUGUGCAAGUUCCCCAUGGCAAACACCACCUUUCCCUGGGAAGACAGCCAAGGCCUGGAGCCCCAUGUAGGAAAUCUCCUGUGAGAGGCCCUUCCUGAGCUCCACAGAAAAUGAUUCUUUUCAUAGGCACUGAGUCCCCUUUUUUUCUAGCCAUAAAUGCCCACAUCACAGUCCCCCUUCCUGGCCUUCUACACUCUGCUCCCGUGCCAAGUGCCCUCACCCAGGCCCCCUCAUAGCUCAUGCACCCCUUUCCCUUCCUUUCCACACUCAACUGGCCUCCCCAAGCCCUCAGAAAGCCUAUUCCUUUCCCCUGCUGUGCUGUUGACUCUCCCUCCAUCCUGCACUCUAUGCCUCUCACUUGAAACUGCUCCAUGCCGUGACCUAACAUCUCCAGAGGCUCCUCUCGGGUUGAACAGACAUGAUUUGUUGACUUUGCCAGAUUAGCAAAGGGAGCAAAUUCCAUAGAUUCCUCUGCCCCUAAGUCUCAAAGUGCAGACCUUCAUCUUGAUAGCAGGAGCGAGGUGAUGGAGGCAGCCUGGGAUUGCAUAAAACAGUAACAGCAAUAUGAUGACUCUGUAGGGACAAUUACUCCCUGGCAGGUCUAAGGGCUAAGCCUUAAUCUUUCCAACAAGGCUCUGCAGUAGGUAUUAUUACUAGCCUCAUUUUGUAGUCGAGAGAAUGGAAGGCCGGGUGCUGUGGCUCAUGCCUGUAAUCCCAGCUCUUUGGGAGAUGGGCAGAUCACUUGAAGUCAGGAGUUCAAGACCAGCCUGGCCAACAUGGUGAAAUCCCGUCAUUAUUAAAAACACAAAAAUUAGCCGGGUGUGGUGUAAACCCAGCUACUCCAAAGGUUGAGGCACAAGAAUCGCUUGAACCUGGGAGGCAGACGUUGCAGUGAGCCAAGAUUGCACCACUGCACUCCAGCCUGGGCAACAGAGCAAGACUCUGUCUCAAAAAACAAAACAAAACAAAAGGCCCGGCAAGGUGGCUCACGCCUGUAAUUCUAGCACUUUGGGAGGCCAAGGUGGGUGGAUCACCUGAGGUCAGUAGUUCAAGACCAGCC
rnacentral:lncRNA from 1 species